UGUAUGGAAAGAUUGUAGCACUGCAUUGGAGUUCCCAUCAGGGUGGAAAUGAGGCCUGAACUGUAGGGGCAGUCUCAUAAAUGCUUCUGUAAUCAGCCAGGCCCAGGUUCAGUCCUUAGACACAGCCAGGCAUUCACAGACAUCUUUCCUGAAAACAUCAGCAGUACCAGAAGCACUGGGACCCUGCAGUGCUCCUGUGUGUGACCUCCCAGCUGUGACACAAUCCAGAGAGCGGCAGGAGUGGAACCCCAAAGCACUUUACAAAUUACAGAGAGAAGAACGACGUUCAUUCAGUCCCUCCUGUGCUGCUCCUUAAACUUAACACCACCCUUCUGGCCACGAGACUUGCUCUUUCCUUGUGAAAGCUGAAAAAUUAAAAACAAAAUGACAGAGAAAAAAGAAAAGCAUAAAAAGAAAAGCAAGUCUGCGAAGUGAAGAAAGACAAGCUGGAAGUUCCACAUCACUGGCCUGUGAAAUGCACCUCAACCGAAGCCACGUGAAAUCCCAUCAAUGGCAGCUCUGGAAAAAACACAGGGUAGUCUCUCA